UACAGAGGUCUCAAGCGUUGUUCGGAUUAAUUGGGCGUAAAGGGUGCGUAGGUGGCGGGGUAAGUCAGGUGUGAAAUCUCGGGGCUCAACCCCGAAACUGCAUUUGAUACUGCCUUGCUCGAGUACUGGAGAGGAGAUUGGAAUUUACGGUGUAGCAGUGAAAUGCGUAGAUAUCGUAAGGAAGACCAGUGGCGAAGGCGAAUCUCUGGACAGUUACUGACACUGAGGCACGAAGGCCAGGGGAGCAAACGGG
rnacentral:rRNA from 1 species